CAGAGCGCUGGGCCGCGCCAGGCUGGGCUGGCAGCCGCAGCUGCUGGGGACACGGCAGGCUCAUCCGUCACCCCAGCGGGAGGCCCGGGCAAAUGCCCAGCUGCCCCGGGGACGCCACCUCCGCAGAGCCGCCAGAGCCCCACGGAGCAAACAGCUCUGCUUGUCUGCAAACAACAAAGGCACCUUCAAGAACUUUACCUAAGAGGCGGAAAUGACAGUCGAUGCUUCCUUAGCAGACGUACACUUCUUUCCAGGUCGGCUGAGAGUUUUCAGACUUGGUCAUCAGGUUUAAUCUCCCCCCGUCUCCCGCCGUGGGUUCUGUUCACUCGGGCUGACUGGGAUCGAGAGUUUGGGCCUGACUCUCCCAGCUCCUGCAGACGUGUGGCCCCGGGCUGGCUCCGCACCUCCACGGCUCUCACAUGCGGGCGAUCCAGACCCCUCCACUUGAUGUUCACAGCUCGGGGGAGGGGCUGUGUGAUUUAACUAACAAGCUCCAUCCUAGUGACGGCGAGGAGGACAUGGCUGGCCGGAGACGUUACCAUCAGGAGUGACGUCUCUUCAGGAUUGGGAGGAUAAAUGCGGUGUGGCAUCUUCCUAUACCAGAUCACCGGGCAGCAGCUGGUUAUGGGAAUGAGCUGCCAGACAGAAGUUAUACCUUAGACUUCCAUUUCUGUGAAGUUCAAAACCAGGCUGGACUAAUGCACAGCACAAGUUGAUGACAGCGAUUGCCCCUGGGUGGGGUACGGGUGCCCACAAGUGGGGCUCCUGAGCCAACAGAGCCUUCGGGUCCUAUAUCUGAGGACUGGCUAGAUGGGAAUGUUCACUUCUCAAAAAUUCAUUGAACAGACACUUGUGAUUUCAGUAUGUUAAAAAAAAAUAUGUUCACAUUCAAUAAGAAGGGUACUAAAAGUGUCAGAGUUAUAAAUAAAAUAAAAUAAAAACACAGCAAACCAAACUAAAAAAUUAUCUCCUCAACAACUCUGGACCAAUGAGAAAAAUGAUUAAAGACCUGGAACAUACUCUUCUUUCAAGAAUUUGUCCUAGGUAAUUAAUCAUGGACACGUGCAAACACUAAGCAGUGUUUUUAUUGCAGAGUGAUUUAGAACAGUAAGAAAUUGAAUAUUAUCCAAGUGUUUACAGAAGAGAUUGGGUGAAUAUAUCAGGGCACAGCCACGAUGGAAUAUUAUUCAGUCAUUAAAAUUAUAUUGUAAAGAAAAACUGUUUCAUAAUGUGGAAAGGUUCAUAAUAUGUUAUUAAAUAGUUAUUAUAGGUUU